rnacentral:rRNA from 1 species
GUGCACGCUGGCGGUAGGCCUAACACAUGCAAGUCGAACGGCAGCACAGUAAGAGCUUGCUCUUACGGGUGGCGAGUGGCGGACGGGUGAGGAAUACAUCGGAAUCUACUUUUUCGUGGGGGAUAACGUAGGGAAACUUACGCUAAUACCGCAUACGACCUACGGGUGAAAGCAGGGGAUCUUCGGACCUUGCGCGAUUGAAUGAGCCGAUGUCGGAUUAGCUAGUUGGCGGGGUAAAGGCCCACCAAGGCGACGAUCCGUAGCUGGUCUGAGAGGAUGAUCAGCCACACUGGAACUGAGACACGGUCCAGACUCCUACGGGAGGCAGCAGUGGGGAAUAUUGGACAAUGGGCGCAAGCCUGAUCCAGCCAUACCGCGUGGGUGAAGAAGGCCUUCGGGUUGUAAAGCCCUUUUGUUGGGAAAGAAAAGCAGCAGGUUAAUACCCCGCUGUUCUGACGGUACCCAAAGAAUAAGCACCGGCUAACUUCGUG